GCCGAAGUGGCGGAAUGGCAUACGCGCCGGUUUCAAAAACCGGUUCCCGUAAGGGAUUGAGGGUUCGAGUCCCUCCUUCGGCA
rnacentral:tRNA from 4 species